AUGACAUGUGAUCUCAGGACUCGGACUCUCUUAAAGUCUCCCAGGAUCUACACUCAUCUGACCCCAGGCAGCGAUGGACAAGCUGAGGGCAGAAUGGAACUCCUCCUGAAUUCAGGGAUCUCACUCCCGACAAAUUCUGGCAGCUUGAGGUCCCCAUCACACGGCAGUCAUGAACUGAUGCCUGGCCUGACACUGUCAACGUUGCUGGCUUACCCACACCCAAGCUUGUCCACAGGGUUUGCCCACAUCCAAGAGAGACAGCAGACAAGAAGCCAGUGGACGACCCAUGUUUCCAUCACCAGGGAAGCUGUGCUUUAUCAAGACACACGCCCCGGUUCUGCGUGUGGAAACGCGUUACAACAGAAACCUGGGGCUCAGAGUUCCUCCAACACGUGCCUUAGUGCUUCUCACUUCUCUGGGAUGGAAAGAAGCAAACGUGCGCCACCUGAUUCACUGAAGCCGGUGACGGACAAACUCUGUAGAGAACAUGCCGCCGUGGACCUGAAGUCACUCCGCAGAUUCAGGAGCAAGCGGCCAAGUGCAUGA
rnacentral:lncRNA from 1 species